GAUCUUAAUUAUUUGCAUGGAGCCCACGUAACCCUGGUGAUUGUUUACGUUUUUCACUUGCAAAUUAAAUUGAGAAAAAAAUAAUAUAAUUUGUGCUAAAACUGUUGUGGGGAUAAGUAUUAUUCUCUACACAUAUAAGGUGAUGUGUAUAUAAGGCCAUAAAUGCAGGUAUAUGAUGGUUUUAUUGAAUUUACAUGUGGAGGAGUGCAGAGACUUCUAAUAUUGGACGGAACGAAAGCCUAUGUGUGCAGGUAUGUAUUGUUGUACUUGCAUACAUCAGUAUGGCGAUCGGUCGAACUUGGUUAAGCACUUGUACAUAUAUAUGCCUGUUGGCCACGGAUUAUAUGAUUGUGUUUGAUUUUUAAGGAGGAAAAAUGUCACUAUCUUUAAUCACGGAAAAUGUGAAUCGGAAAAAAUAUGUCAAAACAUGAAAUCGGACUCGAAUUGCCGGAAUUUUUGCAAUGGACAGGUUCGGCUAAGUACACUGCUACUUACCUUAUUUGAGUUUGAUUGCUCCUGGAAUUUGCUUCUCCUGCAGGUCCACCGAUGCGUGCUGGGGCGAAUUGGAUACUCCGUUAAAAUUAUUUGUGAUAAUUUAUAGAAGAAACUUCUAUCCGGCUCGAAGGACCAAUAUUUGUAGUAGGGCGUCCGCAGGGCUUCCAAUGAAAGGUGGGCGAAUUGCUGCUCCUGUUGGGGGCUUUUGCUGUGGAAACUGACUUUUUUCCCUUGUAGAAAAAACACGUUGGGUUCACUAUAAAGUUACUUUUCGUCUAUAUUUUUUUCUGAAUUUAGGUGUAAGUGUGUGGUGAAUAUAUUUGUUGUUCUGGUUCCGGAGUCAGAGCCAACUUCAGCGAAGUAGCGACGGCUAGAUACACUUCUUGUGUGAAAUCAAUCAAAUAGUACUUUGUUCAAUCAAUCUAAUGGUACUUUAAAUAAUCAAUGCUAUCAUUCUGGUAAUGCAUUGAUUGUUAUUAAUAUAUUUGCUACGAAAACAAGCUUUGGAUUAAGUUAAUCAGAUCUCAAAAAUUGAUCGUCAAGGAGAAGAAAUUAUUUUCUUAUGGAAUACAAUUUUAAUUAUGAAGGAACGAUUUUGCGGAGGGGUACAUAAAGCGAAAUUGACGCUGCCAGUUUCACCAAUCUCUUCGUUUGGGGACUUUGCGGCAUUUGAAGAAUGUCUAAAAGAAAAGAAGACCUCAGCAAAUUUAUGCUAAUUUGUUUCAUAAAAUUAGAUAUAAAAAUGCACCGAUAUUUUUGGAUAUCCCUUUGUUUAAAAUUUAUUUUUUGGCAUGCCUCCACUUGUCCGUAGCUUCACGUUUCGCUUCCGGGACAAGAGUACUUUCAGCUUCUCCUAAAAUAUUUGUGGUUGCUUGAGUUGCCAAAACUGCCGGGCACACAACUAACUGAGGUAUUUGCCUGACAUGGUCAUGCUCCACAAGUACUGCGUCCAAAAGUGUGUUUGCCGAUUUAUUUAUUCCCUGAAGUUGGCCGCGCCGGUUAACUCAUCGGAUUCUCUGGGUGUAGUCCCAUCCCUGGCCCGCAGUCCGCACAAUCGAUAACAACAGAGCUACACGUCUGUAGCAAAACAGACUCCCACAGCACUAUUCAAAAAUGAACCACAUAAUCGAUAACAAAUAUUCGGAUCUGCUAACUCAUGAUCAAGAUAAACAGCUGUAACAACAAUGAAAAUGUAAACAACAAAGAUCGGGCCCCGGUUCCGGACCCAGCGUACCCGCCCUACCAUGAGACGAUCACCUACACAUUUCGUAGACUAAAAGUAGAACUUUUCAAAUUCCAGCCAAAUUGUUUACUUUCGAUAAAGGCAAGGUGUGUCCAUCGGCAAAGCGACUUUCGAUUUUCUUAAUAAUAAUCAAUAUGUGUCCCUGAGCUUUGCCUUCCUACAGCGACUUUGUUGAUCGUUAUUUUACAAUUUUAAUUUAAUUUUAUUAAUUUACAAUUUAAUGUCACAACAUUAUCAGUUCUAUUAACAGCCUUGCAAUUACUA